GGGAGUGCCUUCGGGACGCAGUGACAGGUGGUGCAUGGCUGUCGUCAGCUCGUGUCGUGAGAUGUUGGGUUAAGUCCCGCAACGAGCGCAACCCACGUCUUUAGUUGCCAGCAUUAAGUUGGGCACUCUAGAGAGACCGCCGGUGAUAAACCGGAGGAAGGUGUGGAUGACGUCAAGUCAUCAUGCCCCUUACAUCCUGGGCUACACACGUACUACAAUGCUACGGACAAAGGGCCGCAAACUCGCGAGAGCUAGCAAAUCCCAUAAACCGUGGCUCAGUUCAGAUCGUAGGCUGCAACUCGCCUACGUGAAGGAGGAAUCGCUAGUAAUCGCAGGUCAGCAUACUGCGGUGAAUACGUUCCCGGGUCUUGUACACACCGA
rnacentral:rRNA from 1 species